rnacentral:piRNA from 1 species
GGAUUUCUGAAUUCCAGGACAGCCA